rfam:Picea glauca, whole genome shotgun sequence.
GUUCAAACGAGGAAGGGCUUACGGUGGAUACCUAGGCACCCAGAGAUGAGGAAGGGCGUGGUAAGCGAUGAAAUGCUUCAGGGAGUUGAAAAUGAGCAUCGAUCUGGAGAUUCCCGAAUAGGUUAACCUUUUUAACUGCUGCUUAAUCCAUGGGUAGGCAAGAGACAAGCUGGCGAACUGAAACAUCUUAGUAGCCAGAGGAAUAGAAAGCAAAAUCGAUUCUCGUAGUAGCGAAGAGCGAAAUGGGAGUAGCCUAAACCAUGAAAAUGGGGUUGUGGGAGAGCACAAUAUAAACUUUGUGCUGCUAGGCGAAGCGGUUGAGUCUUGCACCCUAGAUGGUGAGAGUUCAGUAGCCAAAAGCAUCAUUUGGUUACGCUCUAACCCGAGUAGCAUGGGGCACGUGGAAUCCCGUGUGAAUCAACAAGGACCACCUUGAAAGGCUAAAUACUCCUGGGUGACCGAUAGUGAAGUAGUACCAUGAGGGAAAGGUCAAAAGAACCCCCAUCGGGGAGUGAAAUAGAACAUGAUACCAUAAGCUCCCAAGCAAUGGGAGGAAAAUGAUAUCUCUAAUCGCGUGCCUAUUGAAGAAUUAGUCGAUGAAUUAUAGGCAAUGGCUUGGUUAAGGGAACCCACCGGAGCCGUAGCGAGAGCGAGUCUUCAUGGGGAAAUUGUCACUGCUUAUGGACCCAAACCUGGGUGAUCUAUCCAUGAACAGGAUGAAGCUUGGGUGAAACUAAGUGGAGGUCUGAACCAACUGAUGUUGAAAAAUCAGCAGAUGAGUCGUGGUUAGGGGCUAAAUGCCACUUGAACCCAGAGCUAGUUGGUUCUCCCUGAAAUGCGUUGAGGCACAACAGUUGACUGGACCAUCUAGGGGUAAAGCACUGUUUCGGUAUGGGCCAUGAGAGCGGUACCAAAUCGAGGAAAACUUUGAAUACUAGAUUGCCCUAAUAAAAGGGGUAAAGGUCAGCCAGUGAGACGAUGGGGGAUAAGCUUCAUCAUCGAGAGGGAAACAACCCAGAUCAUCAUCUAAGGCCCCUAAAUGAUCACUCAGUGAUAAAGAAAGUAUGAGUGCAAAGACAGCCAGGAGGUUUGCCUAGAAGCAACCAACCUUGAAAGAGUGUGUAAUAUCUCACUGAUCGAGCGCUCUUGCACCGAAGAUGAAUGGGACUAAGUGAUCUAUCGAAGCUAUGGGAUGUAAAAAUAUAUCAGUAGGGGAGCGUUCCGCCUCAGAGGGAAGCACCGACGUGAGCAGGUGUGGACGAAGCGGAAGCGAGAAUGUCGGCUUGAGUAACACAAACAUUGGUGAGAAUCCAAUGCCCCGAAAACCUAAGGGUUCGUCCACGGAGGGUGAGUCAGGGCCUAAGAUCAUGCCGAAAGGCAUAGUCGAUGAACAACAGGUUAAUAUUUCUGAACUACCCCUUGUUGGUCCCGAGGGACGGAGGAGGCUAGGUUAGCCGAAAGAUGGUUAUCGGUUCAAGGACGCAAGGUGACCCUCUAUACAUUGAUUCAAAGGUAAAAGAAGAAUCAAAUAUAGGUAUGUACAAGGUGAGGUUGGGGGUGGAUAUUCCUCAUCAUCUACUCUAGCACACAAAAAUCCAAUAUGGCUUAUCCAAACAUUAUAGGAUGCACAAAAUCCUGUAGGAGCACCCAUAUCAUCAAUGAGGGUGAGUAUACCUCCUAGGAGAUAUGUUAACCAUAUUGUAUUAGAUUCUUCCAUUUGUGAU